UGCUCGAGUGGCGAACGGGUGAGUAACACGUGAGUAACCUGCCCUUGACUUUGGGAUAACUUCAGGAAACUGGGGCGUAAUACCUGAUAGGAGCUCCUGCUGCAUGGUGGGGGUUGGAAAGUUUCGGCGGUUGGGGAUGGACUCGCGGCUUAUCAGCUUGUUGGUGGGGUAGUGGCUUACCAAGGCUUUGACGGGUAGCCGGCCUGAGAGGGUGACCGGCCACAUUGGGACUGAGAUACGGCCCAG
rnacentral:rRNA from 1 species